rnacentral:rRNA from 1 species
UACGGGGGGGGCAAGCGUUGUUCGGAAUUACUGGGCGUAAAGGGCUCGUAGGCGGCCAACUAAGUCAGACGUGAAAUCCCUCGGCUUAACCGGGGAACUGCGUCUGAUACUGGAUGGCUUGAGUUUGGGAGAGGGAUGCGGAAUUCCAGGUGUAGCGGUGAAAUGCGUAGAUAUCUGGAGGAACACCGGUGGCGAAGGCGGCAUCCUGGGCCAACACUGGCGGUGAGUGAGCGAAAGCCAGGGGAGCAAACGGG